UACGGAGGGUGCGAGCGUUAAUCGGAAUUACUGGGCGUAAAGCGCGCGUAGGUGGCUUGAUAAGCCGGUUGUGAAAGCCCCGGGCUCGACCUGGGAACUGCAUCCGGAACUGUCAAGCUAGAGUGCAGGAGAGGAAGGUAGAAUUCCCGGUGUAGCGGUGAAAUGCGUAGAGAUCGGGAGGAAUACCAGUGGCGAAGGCGGCCUUCUGGACUGACACUGACACUGAGGUGCGAAAGCGUGGGUAGCAAACAGG
rnacentral:rRNA from 1 species